rnacentral:ncRNA from 1 species
CACCUGGGGGAGCCAAUAAUUGCUGAGAGGUCUUAAUAAUAAAGACGACCCCUAGAACCUGUCCGGUUAAUGCUGGCGAAGGGACGAGU